rnacentral:lncRNA from 1 species
CCUGAACAAUACGAAGAGGUCCGUAAUUCAGAGUUUGAAAGAGUCAAGAGGAAAAGGCUCCUCCCCACAAGAUAAACAACCCACCCACCCGUUCCCUCAAGCAAAUACAGAGGGGAAGAGGCGUCAGGCUUUGCAUCGUGCCCCGCAGGCCUACAGGUUGCCUUCUUCUGCAGUAGAGAACUCCAUCCAUGAGGACCAUCUCUUGAGAUUGCCCUGCUAUGGAUCACCCCAGGUGAGGGCUGGGGCUUUUGGACCCAUCUUGGCUUCUCCCUCACCCCUAUGCCAGAGCACAAUAAUGCCCGAGGGCCAGGCGUUAUGCGCAGCACCCCAUGGGAGCUGAUCCAGUUCCUGUUCAGCUGGUACCAAGUGUUUUCUAUGGAUGAUGACUGAAAUGUCUUCUAAACUAAUAGUGUGUCACGGUUUUGAUUUAAAAGAAAUAAAUAAAUACAAUCCAUUGACCUAGGGACCUUGAAACUUGUCCAAUCUGCCUUACAACCUGACCCCAAGACCAUUAAAGUCAGCUUAAAGUCCCCCUUUGAUUUCAUCAAACUUUAGAUUGGUCCUUUGGCAAAUGUUUCAAUUAAUCUUUGCCAGGUUUCAUGUCCGUAAUGAAAUCUAAAUUCGUGUUAGCUUUGUGCAGUUCCCAUUUUUAUAACAAAUGUUCUCGUGG